GUGUAGACUAGCUAGCUGGGGUCUGUUCAGCGAGGGGACAGGGAUUAUCUAGAGGUUCUGUUGUACAGUAGACUAGCUAGCUGGGGUCUGUUCAGCGAGGGGACAGGGAUUAUCUAGAGGUUCUGGUGUAGACUAGCUAGCUGGGGUCUGUUCAGCGAGGGGACAGGGAUUAUCUAGAGGUUCUGGUGUAGACUAGCUAGCUGGGGUCUGUUCAGCGAGGGGACAGGGAUUAUCUAGAGGUUCUGGUGUAGACUAGCUAGCUGGGGUCUGUUCAGCGAGGGGACAGGGAUUAACUAGAGGUUCUGUUGUACAGUAGACUAGCUAGCUGGGGUCUGUUCAGCGAGGGGACAGGGAUUAUCUAGAGGUUCUGGUGUAGACUAGCUAGCUGGGGUCUGUUCAGCGAGGGGACAGGGAUUAUCUAGAGGUUCUGGUGUAGACUAGCUAGCUGGGGUCUGUUCAGCGAGGGGACAGGGAUUAACUAGAGGUUCUGGUGUACAGUAGACUAGCUAGCUGGGGUCUGUUCAGCGAGGGGACAGGGAUUAACUAGAGGUUCUGGUGUACAGUAGACUAGCUAGCUGGGGUCUGUUCAGCGAGGGGACAGGGAUUAACUAGAGGUUCUGGUGUACAGUAGACUAGCUAGCUGGGGUCUGUUCAGCGAGGGGACAGGGAUUAUCUAGAGGUUCUGGUGUAGACUAGCUAGCUGGGGUCUGUUCAGUGAGGGGACAGGGAUUAACUAGAGGUUCUGGUGUACAGUAGACUAGCUAGCUGGGGUCUGUUCAGCGAGGGGACAGGGAUUAACUAGAGGUUCUGGUGUACAGUAGACUAGCUAGCUGGGGUCUGUUCAGCGAGGGGACAGGGAUUAUCUAGAGGUUCUGGUGUACAGUAGACUAGCUAGCUGGGGUCUGUUCAGCGAGGGGACAGGGAUUAUCUAGAGGUUCUGUUGUACAGUAGACUAGCUAGCUGGGGUCUGUUCAGCGAGGGGACAGGGAUUAUCUAGAGGUUCUGGUGUAGACUAGCUAGCUGGGGUCUGUUCAGCGAGGGGACAGGGAUUAACUAGAGGUUCUGGUGUACAGUAGACUAGCUAGCUGGGGUCUGUUCAGCGAGGGGACAGGGAUUAACUAGAGGUUCUGGUGUACAGUAGACUAGCUAGCUGGGGUCUGUUCAGCGAGGGGACAGGGAUUAACUAGAGGUUCUGGUGUACAGUAGACUAGCUAGCUGGGGUCUGUUCAGCGAGGGGACAGGGAUUAACUAGAGGUUCUGGUGUAGACUAGCUAGCUGGGGUCUGUUCAGUGAGGGGACAGGGAUUAUAUUAUUAUAUAUUAUUAUCUAGAGGUUCUGGUGUACAGUAGACUAGCUAGCAGGGGUCUGUUCAGCGAGGGGACAGGGAUUAUCUAGAGGUUCUGUUGUACAGUAGACUAGCUAGCUGGGGUCUGUUCAGCGAGGGGACAGGGAUUAUCUAGAGGUUCUGGUGUACAGUAGACUAGCUAGCUGGGGUCUGUUCAGCGAGGGGACAGGGAUUAUCUAGAGGUUCUGGUGUACAGUAGACUAGCUAGCUGGGGUCUGUUCAGCGAGGGGACAGGGAUUAUCUAGAGGUUCUGUUGUACAGUAGACUAGCCAGCUGGGGUCUGUUCAGCGAGGGGACAGGGAUUAUCUAGAGGUUCUGGUGUACAGUAGACUAGCCAGCUGGGGUCUGUUCAGCGAGGGGACAGGGAUUAACUAGAGGUUCUGGUGUACAGUAGACUAGCUAGCUGGGGUCUGUUCAGCGAGGGGACAGGGAUUAUCUAGAGGUUCUGGUGUACAGUAGACUAGCCAGCUGGGGUCUGUUCAGCGAGGGGACAGGGAUUAUCUAGAGGUUCUGGUGUACAGUAGACUAGCUAGCUGGGGUCUGUUCAGCGAGGGGACAGGGAUUAUCUAGAGGUUCUGGUGUACAGUAGACUAGCUAGCUGGGGUCUGUUCAGCGAGGGGACAGGGAUUAUCUAGAGGUUCUGGUGUACAGUAGACUAGCUAGCUGGGGUCUGUUCAGUGAGGGGACAGGGAUUAUCUAGAGGUUCUGGUGUACAGUAGACUAGCCAGCUGGGGUCUGUUCAGCGAGGGGACAGGGAUUAUCUAGAGGUUCUGGUGUACAGUAGACUAGCUAGCUGGGGUCUGUUCAGCGAGGGGACAGGGAUUAUCUAGAGGUUCUGGUGUACAGUAGACUAGCUAGCUGGGGUCUGUUCAGCGAGGGGACAGGGAUUAUCUAGAGGUUCUGGUGUAGACUAGCCAGCUGGGGUCUGUUCAGCGAGGCUGCAGAUGGAAAUGCAUUCAUGACGUCCUGUCUGGUCUGGUCUAUAUAUUUCUAAGUAUGUUGUUUUGUGACGUUCCACCCUGCUGAACAGAGACCAGGUGAUGAUGUAAAUACAAUGUAACUACCUCUGAACCUGUAUGUUAUUGUUCCUAUGGACGGGUUGCCUGAAGUCACGAAAGGCCUUACAGUACAGGACACAACAGGUGUAUAACAGCACAUUAUUCAACUGAUAGAGUCUGAUAGAGAGACAUCUAGGUCAGAUGACAAGAAGCUGGAUGUCGUUUGUCUGAUAGAGACAUCUAGGUCAGAUGACAAGAAGCUGAAUGUCGUUUGUCUGAUAGAGACAUCUAGGUCAGAUGACAAGAAGCUGGAUGUCGUUUGUCUGAUAGAGACAUCUAGGUCAGAUGACAAGAAGCUGAAUGUCGUUUGUCUGAUAGAGACAUCUAGAACUGACCUCAAGUUGAUGCUAAAUUCACUAGCUAACUAACAACUGUAACACUAUAUUUGAAACAAGUACUCAUUCUACACAUGUAUGUGUUCAAUGAACAUCGGAGACUAAAUAGUUCCACCCUGUCAGUUUGGCCCCAUAGUUCCACCCUGUCAGUUUGGCCCCAUAGUUCCACCCUGUCAGUUUGGCCCCAUAGUUCCACCCUGUCAGUUUGGCCCCAUAGUUCCACCCUGUCAGUUUGGCCCCAUAGUUCCACCCUGUCAGUUUGGCCCCAUAGUUCCACCCUGUCAGUUUGGCCCCAUAGUUCCACCCUGUCAGUUUGGCCCCCCACCCUGUCAGUUUG